rnacentral:rRNA from 1 species
UACGGAGGGAGCUAGCGUUGUUCGGAUAUACUGGGCGUAAAGCGCGCGUAGGUGGCGCCGUAAGUCAGGGGUGAAAUCCCGGAGCUCAACUCCGGAACUGCCCUUGAAACUGCAGUGCUAGAAUCUUGGAGAGGCGAGUGGAAUUCCGAGUGUAGAGGUGAAAUUCGUAGAUAUUCGGAAGAACACCAGUGGCGAAGGCGACUCGCUGGACAAGUAUUGACGCUGAGGUGCGAAAGCGUGGGGAGCAAACAGG